AAACGCAUUUGACGGUACCUAUAGAAGAAGCAUCGGCCAACUACGUGCCAGCCGCCGCGGUAAUACGUACGGUGCGAGCGUUGUCCGGAAUUACUGGGCGUAUAGAGCUCGUAUGUGGUUUGUCGCGUUGUUCGUGAAAACUCACAGCUCAACUGUGGGCGUGCGGGCGAUACGGGCAGACUUGAGUACUGCAGGGGAGACUGGAAUUCCUGGUGUAGCGGUGGAAUGCGCAGAUAUCAGGAGGAACACCGGUGGCGAAGGCGGGUCUCUGGGCAGUAACUGACGCUGAGGAGCGAAAGCGUGGGGAGCGAACAGGAUUAGAUACCCUGGUAGUCCACGCCGUAAACGGUGGGUACUAGGUGUGGGUUUCCUUCCUUGGGAUCCGUGCCGUAGCUAACGCAUUAAGUACCCCGCCUGGGGAGUACGGCCGCAAGGCUAAAACUCAAAGAAAUUGACGGGGGCCCGCCACAAGCGGCGGAGCAUGUGGAUUAAUUCGAUGCAACCGCGAAGAACCUUACCUGGGUUUGACAUGCACAGGACGCCGGCAGAGAUGUCGGU
rnacentral:rRNA from 1 species